rnacentral:rRNA from 1 species
GUCGAGGGGCAACGGGGAUGUUAGCUUGCUAAUAUCUGCCGGCGACCGGCGCACGGGUGAGUAACGCGUAUGCGACCUGCCCGUCACAGGGGGAUAAUCCGGAGAAAUCCGGUCUAAUACCGCAUAAUAUCGUGAAUCUGCAUGGAUUUGCGAUUAAAGGAGCGAUCCGGUGACGGAUGGGCAUGCGUGACAUUAGCUAGUCGGCGGGGUAACGGCCCACCGAGGCGACGAUGUCUAGGGGUUCUGAGAGGAAGGUCCCCCACACUGGUACUGAGACACGGACCAGACUCCUACGGGAGGCAGCAGUGAGGAAUAUUGGUCAAUGGGCUUACGCCUGAACCAGCCAAGUCGCGUGAGGGAAGACUGCCCUAUGGGUUGUAAACCUCUUUUGUCAGGGAGCAACGCCGGCUACGUGUAGCCGGACUGAGAGUACCUGAAGAAAAAGCAUCGGCUAACUCCGUGCCAGCAGCCGCGGUAAUACGGAGGAUGCGAGCGUUAUCCGGAUUUAUUGGGUUUAAAGGGUGCGUAGGCGGAAUGCCAAGUCAGCGGUAAAAUCGCGGGGCUCAACCUCGCUCCGCCGUUGAAACUGGCGUUCUUGAGUGGGCGAGAAGUAUGCGGAAUGCGUGGUGUAGCGGUGAAAUGCAUAGAUAUCACGCAGAACUCCGAUUGCGAAGGCAGCAUACCGGCGCCCGACUGACGCUGAGGCACGAAAGCGUGGGGAUCGAACAGGAUUAGAUACCCUGGUAGUCCACGCAGUAAACGAUGAAUGCUAGUUGUCCGGUUCUUUGGGACUGGGUGACACAGCGAAAGCGUU